rnacentral:rRNA from 1 species
GAUGAACGCUGACAGAAUGCUUAACACAUGCAAGUCUUUGGCGAAUCUGUGCUUGCACAGGCUAGCCAAGGCGGACGGGUGAGUAACGCGUAAAGAACUUGCCCUGCAGACAGGGAUAACAGACGGAAACGACUGAUAACACCUGAUACAGUUGCCGGCACGCAUGUGCCUGGCAAUGAAAAGAGAUGCUGCAGGAGAGCUUUGCGUCCUAUUAGCUUGUUGGUGAGGUGACGGCUCACCAAGGCGAUGAUAGGUAGCCGGCCUGAGAGGGUGAACGGCCAAAAGGGGACUGAGAUACGGCCAUUACGCCUACGGGAGGCAGCAGUGGGGAAUAGUGGACAAGGGGGGCAACCCUGAUCCAGCAAUUCUGUGUGCACGAAGAAGGUUUUAGGAAUGUAAAGAGCUUUCAGAAGGGAAGAAGAAAGUGACGGUACCUGCAGAAGAAGCGACGGCUAAAUACGUG